GAAAUGCGAUAAGUAAUGUGAAUUGCAGAAUUCCGUGAAUCAUCGAAUCUUUGAACGCACAUUGCGCCCUCUGGUAUUCCGGGGGGCAUGCCUGUCCGAGCGUCAUUGCGAACCCCUCAAGCACGGCUUGUGUGAUGGGCCCUCCCGCGUCUUGGUCGUCAAGACGGGCCCGAAAUGCAGUGGCGGCUUCGCGGUUAUCCGAUCAGCCAGAGCGUAUGGGGACUCUCUCUCUUGUCACACGCCGCGGCGCGGACCGACGCCUGUCGACCUUUAUUCAUCUUCUCUCGGUUGACCUCGGAUCAGGUAGGGAUACCCGCUGAACUUAAGC
rnacentral:misc_RNA from 1 species